GAUGAACGCUGGCGGCGUGCCUAAUACAUGCAAGUCGAGCGAACAGACGAGGAGCUUGCUCCUCUGACGUUAGCGGCGGACGGGUGAGUAACACGUGGAUAACCUACCUAUAAGACUGGGAUAACUUCGGGAAACCGGAGCUAAUACCGGAUAAUAUAUUGAACCGCAUGGUUCAAUAGUGAAAGACGGUUUUGCUGUCACUUAUAGAUGGAUCCGCGCCGCAUUAGCUAGUUGGUAAGGUAACGGCUUACCAAGGCAACGAUGCGUAGCCGACCUGAGAGGGUGAUAGGCCACACUGGAACUGAGACACGGUCCAGACGACUACGGGAGGCAGCAGUAGGGAAUCUUCCGCAAUGGGCGAAAGCUUGACGGAGCAACGCCGCGUGAGUGAUGAAGGUCUUCGGAUCGUAAAACUCUGUUAUUAGGGAAGAACAAAUGUGUAAGUAACUAUGCACGUCUUGACGGUACCUAAUCAGAAAGCCACGGCUAACUACGUG
rnacentral:rRNA from 1 species